GUGCUGAGCAUUAUAUGUACAAGAUUUUAAUCCUUAAGACACUUGGAGGUGUUAUUAUUUCUCUUUUACGGGUGGAGACACUGGAGCUCAGCGAGCUUACACAGUUUUUCCUACGCUCACAGGGUUAGAAGGUGAUAGGGUAGGAACAAAACUCACUCAGUCCCUCCACCCUAUACAGUGGUUCCUUCUUAUUCACAGGGGAUAUACUCCAGGACCUCUGAUGGGUGACUGAAAUCAUGGAGAGGACCCAACCUUAUCAUUUAAUGUCUUUUCCAUCAUAACUAAGCAUUUAUCAGACACUGUGGCUGUACCUUUUGCAGUUUGAAGUGCAACAGCAAAACUAGCAUGAAUGGUUUACUCAUUCACCAUUUCACAGGUGAAAGAUUUAUUACUAUAGGGCUUAGCAACCUCAACCUAUGAUUGCUUUUCUUCCCUUACUAAGAGCUUUCACCUUUCCACUUAAAGAAAGCACCUUCCAGCUUCGCUUUGGCUUGGCAGAUGAACUGCCCACAUCUCUAUGUGUACACUUUGUACCCAUUAUUAAGUAAAAUAAGGGUUACUCAAACAUAAACACUGCAGUACCAUAACAGUCAAACUGAUAACUGAGAUGGUUAUCAAGUGACUAACAGAAGGGUAGCAAUUGAGAAUGAUACAAAAUUUUAAAUGUACAAUAAAUUGUUUAUUUCUGAAACCACAGAAAGCCAAACUGCAGGUAAGAGGCACGGGACUAUUGUAUGAAGAAUUCAGACAAGAAUGCUAUGAGUUUCUCUGAAGAGAGAAAUCACAGUUAGGGAUGAAGAAAGCAAUCUGCCACACUUUGGCCUUGAAAGUACCAGGAAGGCUGAGCUAGUAACAUACUGGCAAAAGUACGCCAGACAAGAAGAUGGACAUUGUCCACCAGGUACCUGAGAAGAUGCUACAUUUUCCAGAUGAGGAAAACAGUGUGCAUGCCUGCUUCGCUUCUGAGAGAUAGACAAAGGCAAAAUGGUGGAAGGUCUUGAGUGCUUGGUGAAUUGUGGUUAGAUCUUCUGGAUCUAAUCAGCAUUUUAUGACAAAGGAAUCCAAAUCCAAGGUAUGAAUGGUUUAGAAAAAACGGAUCCAUUUCCAGGGCCAAAGAGGCAAGGGAAGCACAUUGUAUUAGUGGGAGCUAGAGAUAGCAUCCUGUAUGAGAAUGCAACCACAGAAUGUACUCAGGAAAAUAAAGGCUAUAAAGUGGUUGAGAUCAGAGAGCAUUAGAAACACACCUAACGAGGCACUUAAUCUCAUAUGUUACAGGUACUUACUCAUCCAAUGACCCAGUGCCCAUUAUGUGGCAGGCACUAUUCCAGAUACCUGGGAUUUAUCAGUGACAAAAUACACUUAAUAAAUUAUCUUCUACCGAGGAGCUCUCCUUCUAUGAUUGGUGCUAAUUCCUGGUCGGGAAAAUUCUUGACUCCCAGAAUCUGAGGAUAGAAAUACUGUACACUUGUGAUCUCAUGAUCCCAAACAGAAAUGCAAAUCUCUCUGGGAUGAAGCUGAGUGGCUAUGCAAAAGGACAGACACAGCACUUCUGAUUUAAGAGCAAGGAUGAUCUUACCCCAGUGUGGCUGGGGAAAGAAACUUAAGAUGGGCGGAUUGUCAGGCUUUCCUCUGAGUUGGAUCAGGAAAGCAAGCUCAAAACCAAGGUGAAGAGUUGGCAGUGUGACCCUUGAAGAGGAUUCCCGUUAGCCUGGGGCACCCUCUCUGUUUUCCACUCCCAAGGUGGAAUUAAUUUUGUAAUCUUCCAUAAUGUAGACAAACCGGAGACUUUCCAAUCCCAGCUUGGGUGGGUACUAUUUCAAGACAAAUUGUAACAAGAUGGCCUUUCACUGUAAAAGAGAGACAGGAGGCAGGAAGUAAAUACACCUGGAUACAUGUUUAAACGGGAGAGAUUCUGCAAGAAAGCCUUGGUUGUAAGACAGAAAAUUAGAGAGAUGGAAUUUUUCUCAGAUUCCUAAAAGCACUAUGCAGAUGAAGAUAAGAUACUAAAAGCAGCUACUCACUUUCUGCAAAAAGACAGCUCAAGGUCAGGAGAGCAUUGUGGGUUCUCUGAUGAAGACUUGACCUCCAGGGAAGCAGAGCAGCAGAUCAUCCCCAGACAGCUUUUAGCAGAGACUUGAUAAACAGCAGCAUCACUUCGGGUGCAGCUAGGAUGAAGAGAACGUAGGGCACAGCAGAACCUGACUGUAACCUUCAAAAAGGCCUCCUUGUUGCAAAGAAGAGGUUGUCUCACAAGUGUGAUCCCCAGACAGAUUUUUAUCUGUUUCUUUGCUGCCUUUUUAAAAAUGAUGUUCAUGAAAGACCACAAUUCCCCGUUUACACACACGUCGGUACCAAUUGAUUUCACGAGGUAAAAAAGUCUUUGAAUUUUUCCUCCCUCCUUUCAACUCCCACAUAUUUUGAAUAAAAAACAAAGCUCUUUUUCAAGCUACAGUACAUGCUAUGAUUGAUGUUUCUUUCCCUUCAAGUACUUUCUUGGCUUUCCAUUUCUCCUUCCUGCCAAGCCCCAGACCUGUGGCCAUGUAAGGGUCACAGCACUGACACACCUCUUCUGUUAAGAAUGGUAUGAGAAGGAGAAUUCAGGGAGGACUGGAUGGGUUGUCACCAGGUAUAGGAGAGAGGGAAAGCCAAAGAAUGAUAAAUACAGCAGCAGGGGUCUUGGCUCAAAGCAGAGCUGCAGAUUAGAGUUGUUAAACCCAAAAGGCCCUGGAGAAACAGAAGCUUUCAAAUAUCUAAGAGCUCAGAUUUAAUGACCCAAACUGAGGUAGAUAAAGAAAAGUGCUUUUCUUUGGGCUAUGAGCUAAUCCAGUGGUUUACACUGCAUUAAUAAUAGCAGGACAAUUUGAGACUAACUAACAACUUGCUGAAAGAGAGCAAAGGUUACAAGUGAGGCAGGAACAGUGGAGCUCAGCCAGUGCCUGGUCAGAGUAGGGUGAAACAGCCCUUCCAGUGUGCUAAACUCAGUUCUGGCAUUGGCUGGGCUAGGGCAAGCCCUGAAGAGUGCUGGGUGGAGAUGAUGGUCAGGAGAACGGCACAGUCACCGCAAGCCUAUGGGCUCAUGGAGUAUACAAGGUUGAAUAGUGUUAGUUGUCUAACAACUAGCCUGUAAUCUUUGGAAGGCAUUUGCAUAAGAGACCAAUGGUUUUCCUAACCAGAUUCAAUAUAUUGGUAUAAGUCAUAUUACUUUCCAGUGAAUUUUUAGGAGACAAAGUGUUUUUUGUCUUGGGCAACACAUUGGAAUGACCUGGCAUUCAGAUUUGAUCAGUUAAAGGUAAAACCCAAACAAACAUUGGUGGGGUUCUGCCGUUGAUGCCAAGGGGCAGCUCCAGUCCAGGACAACUAGUGUAAAACAUCAGAACAUUCAAAGGUCAUAGGUACCCAGCAAAGUGUGACCCUAUCUAUUGUCAUAUAAUUCUAUCAUCAGAUCUUCCUUUAGGACUGAAUACUUCUCCCAGUAGGUGGGGCUACUUUUCAAAAUGGUGGGCCAGGAGCUUGAAAAGAGUGAAUACUGUUACGGUAAAUCUUCACGUUUUACAAAAACUACUACCCUGGUGGACACAGAGCAGAGAACAGUGACUCCCUGACCCUUCCAUAGUACAAGUUCCCUUCCUAUCCUGUCUUCCCCGCUUUGGCCUGCUCACCUGUCUUUGGGACUUCAUCAUAGCUUUCUGCAUCCCUUACCACCAUGGCCCUAUAUAAACAACACAAACGGUAACAGACAAUCUCAGUUUUUAAAGGAAUACACAUCAAACUUCUCUUCAAUCUAAAAUGUGAGCACUAUAUUUUGGCUUAGCAUAAAAAUAAAAUUGAGAAAUAUGUAGUAAGCACUUAUAGAGAAAAAAAAGCAGCAUAUAAAUCCUCAAA